rnacentral:tRNA from 1 species
GGAGAGAUGACCGAGUGGCCGAAGGUGCAUGAUUGGAAAUCAUGUGUGGGUGCAAGCUCACCAAGGGUUCGAAUCCCUUUCUCUCCG